UGCGUAGGCGGACUAAUAAGUCAGUGGUGAAAUCUCUCGGCUCAACCGGGAAACUGUCAUUGAUACUGUUAGUCUUGAGUUCGGUUGAGGUAGGCGGAAUGUGUAAUGUAGCGGUGAAAUGCUUAGAUAUUACACAGAACACCAAUUGCGUAGGCAGCUUACUAGACCGACACUGACGCUGAGGCACGAAAGCGUGGGUAGCGAACAGGAUUAGAUACCCUGGUAGUCC
rnacentral:rRNA from 1 species